CCUACGGGCGGCAGCAGUGAGGAAUAUUGGUCAAUGGUCGGGAGACUGAACCAGCCAAGUAGCGUGAGGGAGGACUGCCCUACGGGUUGUAAACCUCUUUUGUCCGGGAAUAAAGGGGGGCACGUGUGCCUGUUUGCAUGUACCUGAUGAAUAAGGAUCGGCUAACUCCGUGCCAGCAGCCGCGGUAAUACGGAGGAUCCGGGCGUUAUCCGGAUUUAUUGGGUUUAAAGGGUGCGUAGGCGGGUCGUUAAGUGAGCGGUGAAAUGUUGGGGCUCAACCAGGACAGUGCGUUGGAUACUGGCAGUCUUGAGUUGGAGUGAGGUAGGCGGAAUGCGUGGUGUAGCGGUGAAAUGCUUAGAUAUCACGAAGAACUCCGAUUGCGAAGGCAGCAUGCCGAAUCGCCACUGACGCUGAGGCUCGAAAGCGUGGGUAUCGAACAGGAUUAGAUACCCUGGUAGUC
rnacentral:rRNA from 1 species